rnacentral:rRNA from 1 species
UACGGGGGGGGCAAGCGUUGUUCGGAAUUACUGGGCGUAAAGGGCUCGUAGGCGGCCAACUAAGUCAGACGUGAAAUCCCUCGGCUUAACCGGGGAACGGCCUCUGAUACUGGAUGGCUUGAGUUCGGGAGAGGGAUGCGGAAUUCCAGGUGUAGCGGUGAAAUGCGUAGAUAUCCGGAGGAACACCGGUGGCGAAGGCGGCUUCCUGGACCGACACUGACGCUGAGGCGCGAAAGCUAGGGGAGCAAACGGG